rnacentral:misc_RNA from 1 species
CCAGUGAAGAACAGUGAAACUCUGCAAUUUGAUGCUAUGAUGGAUAACCUAAAAUCACCAGAAUCAUGCUAUGAGGGUGCAAAGUUGGAAAAUAGGAGUGCCGGCCUACCUCCCCUCGAUCCUUCUCUGGUAGAUUUUGACAUCAAUACUGUGCAGUUUCAGGUCAUAAAAAAUGAAGAUCUUGAAGAGCUGAGAGAACUGGGUUCUGGUACUUUUGGGACUGUGUAUCAUGGAAAAUGGAGGGGAG